rnacentral:rRNA from 1 species
GAUGAACGCUAGCGGCAGGCCUAAUACAUGCAAGUCGAGGGGUAACAGGAGAGCUUGCUCUUGCUGACGACCGGCGCACGGGUGCGUAACGCGUAUGCAACCUACCCAUCACUGAGAGAUAGCCCGUGGAAACAUGGAUUAAUACCUCAUAAUACUUUCGACCGGCAUCGGUUGAUUUUUAAAGAUUUAUUGGUGAUGGAUGGGCAUGCGUUAGAUUAGCUAGUUGGUAAGGUAACGGCUUACCAAGGCUACGAUCUAUAGGGGUUCUGAGAGGAUGAUCCCCCACACUGGUACUGAGAUACGGACCAGACUCCUACGGGAGGCAGCAGUAGGGAAUAUUGGUCAAUGGAGGCAACUCUGAACCAGCCAUGCCGCGUGUAGGAAGACGGCGUUCUGCGUUGUAAACUACUUUUAUCUAGGAAGAAAGCGAUCCUUGCGAGGGUCUUUGACGGUACUAGAAGAAUAAGCACCGGCUAACUCCG